rnacentral:rRNA from 1 species
CCUCCGCCGGGCGAGUCCGCGAGAAGUCCACUGAACCUUAUCAUUUAGAGGAAGGAGACGUCGUAACAAGGUUCCCGUAGGUGACCCAACGAUUCGAUCGUUGUCGGCGCCUCACGCGAGCGCCCCGCCGGCCGAACAACCAACCCCGGCGCCAGUCGCGACAAGGAAGACCCAACAAACGAGCGAGCUCCCGACGGCCCAGAAGCGGUCCCCGGCCGACGAUCGUCCCACAUUCGUAAAUUACAGAACGACUCUCGGCAACGGAUAUCUCGGCUCUCGCAUCGAUGAAGAACGUAGCGAAAUGCGAUACUUGGUGUGAAUUGCAGAAUCCCGUGAACCAUCGAGUCUUUGAACGCAAGUUGCGCCCGAAGCCAUUAGGCCGAGGGCACGUCUGCCUGGGCGUCACGCACCGUCGCCCCCACCCCAUCCCGGGUAGGGGCGGAUGCUGGCCUCCCGCGAGCCCCGUCUCCCGGCUGGCCGAAAUGAGAGCCCGCGGCGACGACCGCCACGAUCCACGGUGGAUGAGCGAAACUCACUCGAGACCGGCCGUGCGCGCGUCGUCCCCCGAUUCGGGCCACGAGACCCCUGCGCCCCGCGCGCUUCCGACGCGACCCCAGGUCAGGCGGGGCUACCCGCUGAGUUUAAGCAUAUCAAUAAGCGGAGGAA